UGGACUAAAAAAAACAUAAGUUUCCAUUUGAUUUUUCAAAGUUAACCCAUUAAAACCAUCCACAGUUAUUUUUAACACUAAUUUUUAUUUUCAUUAAUUUUUUAAAAAUAAGUAUGUAACAUUAAAUUAUGAUCACGCUGUAUUUAAAUAUGGUAUCAAUAUUUCAUAGAUCCAGUACACAUAAGAGUCGAAAAGCUUCUAAAGUUUUUGGUUAAAGUUGAGAAGGAUCAAAGUAAUUAUUAUAUAGAAAAACUAGAUGAAAAUGAAGUUGAAAUAAUCACAACCGAAUUUCAUAAGAUUGACGAUGAUCACGAUGGUCUUAUAAAAAAGGAAAAAUCCAUAGAAUUAAUUAUUUCUAUGGGCUGUGGUACUCGUGAAAAAAACGACUAUUUUUCAGACGAAGAUGAACUGGAAAGUCAACCCAGUUCCUUUGUAGCCUGUCCGCCUCAGAAUAACACUGUGUUUGAUUUGAAGAAAAAUAUUGAUGACGAUGAUUUAGUUGAUUUUAACGUAGCUGAUGUAAUGUUAAAAGUAUUAUUGAACAGGUCAGGACAUAAAAAUACAUAUUAUGGCAUAUAACUUUAAUACUAGGAGUCAGACUUGAAGAAUUAUUUAAGAUGUGUAAAUAUAAUAUUUUGUUUAAUUUGUAAACACUCUUUCAACAUUUAUAUGUCUUAUUGUAAAACAAGAUUUGUA